CCCGAGGCUACUGGAUCAAAGCCCACUCGCUGUACUGCCGUUGUCCUUUAUUUGUGUUAGCCCGUUUGCUUAUUAACAAAAACCAGAUGGAGAAAAUGGAUUCAGAACUCUUCGGUGUUAAAACUGGGCGGAACCGGACCGAGGCGUUGACCUGACCAGACCCCUGCUGAGAAAGCGCUUACACUGGCAUCCUCCUUCUGCCCAAGGAUGUGAAGCUGAAUGAAAGUCUGUUCUUAUCAUUCUACACUGCUGAAGAGGUAAGUUGAUGACAACCUUUUUUUUCCUUUCUUUUUUUUUUUUUAUAUAGAAAUGCAAUAGACGAAGCUAAUAAAAUCCCUCCACUCGCUCGUUCCA
rnacentral:lncRNA from 1 species